ACUCAAAUGAAUUGACGGGGGCCCGCACAAGCGGUGGAUGAUGUGGUUCAAUUCGAUGCAACGCGAAAAACCUUACCUACCCUUGACAUGCCAGGAAGCCCGAUGAAAGUCGGGUGUGCCCGAAAGGGAACCUGGACACAGGUGCUGCAUGGCUGUCGUCAGCUCGUGUCGUGAGAUGUUGGGUUAAGUCCCGCAACGAGCGCAACCCUUGUCAUUAGUUGCUACAUUCAGUUGGGCACUCUAAUGAGACUGCCGGUGACAAACCGGAGGAAGGUGGGGACGACGUCAAGUCCUCAUGGCCCUUAUGGGUAGGGCUACACACGUCAUACAAUGGCGCAUACAGAGGGCUGCCAACCCGCGAGGGGGAGCAAAUCCCAGAAAGUGCGUCGUAGUCCGGAUUGAAGUCUGCAACUCGACUUCAUGAAGUCGGAAUCGCUAGUAAUCGCGGAUCAGCAUGUCGCGGUGAAUACGUUCCCGGGCCUUGUACACACCGCCCGU
rnacentral:rRNA from 1 species